rnacentral:rRNA from 1 species
AUUAUUUAAUUCUGGUAAAAAAAUUAGUUAUAAGAUAAUAACAUUCAUGUGAAUUUAAGUGGGAUUUUAUUUAUCUAAAUGGUAAUUAUUUAUUUAUUCGCAGUUUUUAUUUUUAUAAAUUUAAUGUUUUAUGAUAUAUUUAUUUUAUUUAUAAUUAGUUAAAAUUGUGCCAGCAACUGCGGUUAUACAAUUAAUUAAAGUUAAUUUUUUCGAGUGUAAAUAUAUUAUUUUAUAAAAUAUAUUAAUGUAAAGAUAUUAUGUAAUUUUAGGUGAAAUUUAAUUUUAAUAAUGAUUUAUUAAAAAUUAGUGUUAAAUAAUAUGAAGCUCAUAUUAAAGACUAGGAUUAGAUACCCUAUUAUUUUGAGUGUGAAAUUUUUUCUUAUAAGAUUAUUAGGAAUGUUCUUUAAAUUAAAAGAAUUUGACGGUAAUUAUAUCAUUUCAGAGGAACCUGUCUUUUAAUUGAUAAUCCACGAUAAAUUUUACCUUGAUUAUUGGUUGUAUAUCUCUGUCUGUAGAAUGUUCUUUAAGGAAAAGGAUUUUCUUUAACUUUAAUUUAAAAGUUUGAUGUCAGGUCAAGGUGCACUUAUAUUAAGGGUUCAGAUGGGUUACAUUAAUAUAAAAUUAUGGAUUUUACCUUUUAUAAGUUAAUUGAAAUAGGAUUUGAAUGUAAUUUAUAUUAUAUUUUAUAUAUGAUAAAUGCUCUAUAUUAAGUACACAUCGCCCGUCGCUCUCGUUGCAUGGUUAAUUAAAAUGAGAUAAGUCGUAACAAAGUAGGCCUAUCGGAAGGUGGGCCUGGAAUUAUU